CAGGGGGGCUCAAGAGCACGCCCCCUCGUUGUCUGAUAUGUUCAGUGAAAUCCUGCAAGAAAGUGCCUCAAAUAAUAAUAAUAACAAUAGGCAGAUGACGAGCUCAACCGCUCAACAGCUGGAUGGUUAUCUGUCUGAAGUCCCCAUCCCCAGAAGAGAUAACCCUACCAGAGAAGUAAUCGCCGCUGCUUUCCUCACCUCGCAACGAUGGCACGCAAGUACUCGUCUGCUCCGUGCACAAGCACUGACAGCGAGAGACUGUUCAGUGCAGCAGCACCUGUUCUCCAUGAGAAGAGGAACAGACUUCACUGUGAUGAAGCAGAGAAGCUACUCUUCAUCAAGAAAAACCUGCCACUUUACCUCAAGAAGUAGAAUGGGCUUGUCUAGUGUUUAAAUAUUUAUUAUCCACUUUGCACAUCUGCAAUUGAGCAAUUCUUGGUGCAUUUGUUGUUGUUAAAGUUCUGCAGUUAACAUAUGGACUAUGGCAGUCUUUGUUUUGAUGUUGAAGGCCUACAGAGAAAUGAUAUUGUUGUAUCUUUAAGCAGUUCCACUUGUUCUGAAUGCACUUUCUUGUAGUAAUACAGAGAAAGAUUUAAAAUGCACUUGACCUAAAUGCACUUUGUUUUUGUUUUUUAUGAUAGAACAUUUAAAUUUAAAACCUUUCUGCAGGCCAGUAGGCCUGUACAUUAUUAUUUAAUGUACACAUGAGUGGGGUCAAGUUAAACAUUUAAGUUUGAAUUUUAUUUUAUACUGUGCAUUGUUGCAAUGUGCUAAAUAAAUAUUUGCAUAAUU